AUCACUCCCCGGCCUUUUGGCUAAGAUGAAGUUCUUAUGAGUUUAAUUAUCUGAUACAUCCUCUAGUCAAGACAACAAAUUCAAUGGAUUUUUGGAGCAGGGAGAUGGAAGAGGAGCCUGCUCCAUCCACACCAUGUGUGGACCUGGUAUUGCAGGACUUCCAGGAAUGGUGCACCCCCU
rnacentral:snRNA from 1 species